AGUGAACGCUGGCGGUAGGCCUAACACAUGCAAGUCGAACGGCAGCACAGUAAGAGCUUGCUCUUACGGGUGGCGAGUGGCGGACGGGUGAGGAAUACAUCGGAAUCUACUUUUUCGUGGGGGAUAACGUAGGGAAACUUACGCUAAUACCGCAUACGACCUACGGGUGAAAGCAGGGGAUCUUCGGACCUUGCGCGAUUGAAUGAGCCGAUGUCGGAUUAGCUAGUUGGCGGGGUAAAGGCCCACCAAGGCGACGAUCCGUAGCUGGUCUGAGAGGAUGAUCGGCCACACUGGAGCUGAGACACGGUCCAGACUCCUACGGGAGGCAGCAGUGGGGAAUAUUGGACAAUGGGCGCAAGCCUGAUCCAGCCAUACCGAGUGGGUGAAGAAGGCCUUCGGGUUGUAAAGCCCUUUUGUUGGGAAAGAAAAGCAGCAGGUUAAUACCCCGCUGUUCUGACGGUACCCAAAGAAUAAGCACCGGCUAACUUCGUG
rnacentral:rRNA from 1 species